AUGGCGGAGGCCAUCGUCGGCCCGCUGCUGAGCAAGCUCCAGGAGCUGGCCCUGAGCGAGGGGAGGGCGCUGGUUGCCGUCAGCGGCGAAAUCGGGAACCUCCGCGACAAGCUCAUGUGGCUGCUGGCCUUUCUUCAGGAGGCCGACCCCCGGCGCCGCACCCGCGCCAGCGAGCUCAUGCGCGUGCUUGUGCGCCAGACCCGCGACGCCGCGUUCAGCGCCGAGGACGCCGUCGACGAGUACGUCUUCCGCGUCGACCUGUCUCGGUACCCCAGUUGGUCCCGCGCCAUCCUCGGCUUCCUCGCUGGCUCCACCACACAGCUCCUCGUCCGGCACAGGCUCUCCGGUGAGAUCGCGGCCAUAAACGGCCGGCUCGAGGAGAUCAUCAAGAACAAGGAGAAGUACAGGCUGGAGGACUCCGCCGCCGUAUCAUCGGUGCGAACGUGGACCGCCUCUGCUGCCUCCUCAAGUGUCUCACUCACCUGGUCAGCCUUCCCCUGCACUGUCACUUGCCAAGUUUAUCUUUAUCAUCGAUCUGCAUAUGUGCUGAAGUAUAAAAGUACACCGAUCUGCCAUCUUUUUAGUUUAAAUUUACUGAAUGGACUGGAGCACAAGAGGCCAAUGAGGUCGACUAAGCUUUGCAGUUUUGUAGCAGGGUUAAUAUUACCGAGAGCCGUCUAUCCGAUAUUGAGAUCUGUAAACAAUUCCAUAUUUUUUUUUCUGAGCUCUGUUAGGGUCGCUAAUAGCAUGCUAUAG
rnacentral:rRNA from 1 species